CUUUCUUUUUCCACUUUCUUCUGUUCUUUUUCUCUUUGUCCUCUCUCCUCUUUCUCUGAGAGUCUGACAGAGAAAUACACAGGACAAUGGGGAAUGUCUGCUGU
rnacentral:ribozyme from 1 species